rnacentral:lncRNA from 1 species
UCAGGCCCGGGGACUACCACAUCCUUACCUCCUCAUUUACAGUCCUCUAGGAUUAUGAAAAGGGUAUAUUUGUUAAUGGAUCAUAUAUAUAUAUCGAUGCCCCUUCACUUAGGUCUUGUUUGGUUGAGGCCUUCUCGACUUUGAAGUUGUGGACAAUUGAAUAGCCCCAGCGAAUAAAGCUUUUCAUAGAGGCUCCGGGUCUGCUUCGG